rnacentral:rRNA from 1 species
CGAAGAAACGCCACGACGAAGGGCACUGAGGACGAGCCUGCGGCCCAUCAGCUAGUUGGUGAGGUAAGAGCUCACCAAGGCUAAGACGGGUAGCUGGUCUGAGAGGAUGAUCAGCCACACUGGAACUGAGACACGGUCCAGACUCCUACGGGAGGCAGCAGUGGGGAAUAUUGCGCAAUGGGCGAAAGCCUGACGCAGCCACGCCGCGUGAGCGAUGAAGGCCUUCGGGUCGUAAAGCUCUGUGGGGAGAGACGAAGAAAGCCUGUGAAGAGCAGGCCUUGACGGUAUCUCCUUAGCAAGCACCGGCUAACUCCGUG